rnacentral:tRNA from 1 species
GCCGAAAUAGCUCGGUUGAGAGAACAUUAGACUAAAGAUCUAAAGGUUCCGGGUUUCGGCA